UUUAUUCUCUUCUUUGGUAUACUAUAGAUUUUAAAGAAAAGGUAAACAUUUUCCCCUGCAGCAUGGUAAGAAUGCAGCUCAGCACAGGUGAAAGCUGGUGGAAACAUACGGAUUUUCAGGAUCCCAUCCAGCAUAGUCCCUGACUCCCCCAAGGGGGAAGCCCAGCCACUGUUAAGGUAAGGGCUAGGCAAUUGCCCCUCUCCACUUUGAACCUCCCUGGUCUGGUCAAUGCAGUCCCUUUGUACUAACCCCUCUCUGUAAAGCG
rnacentral:lncRNA from 1 species